rnacentral:rRNA from 1 species
GACAGAGGGGGCAAGCGUUGCUCGGAAUCACUGGGCGUAAAGGGCGCGUAGGCGGGAUGGCAAGUCGGUCGUGAAAUCUCUCGGCUCAACCGAGAAACGUCGGCCGAUACUGCCGUUCUUGAGGGAUGCAGAGGAGACUGGAAUUCCCGGUGUAGCGGUGAAAUGUGUAGAGAUCGGGAGGAACACCGGUGGCGAAGGCGGGUCUCUGGGCAUUUCCUGACGCUGAGGUACGAAGGCAUGGGUAUCGAUUGGG